GAGAGCCGGAUGCGUUGAGAAGCGCACGUCCGGUUCGGGAGGCGGUCAGGGAAACCCACCGGUGGGGACACCGGCAGGGCGUCCCUGGCCGACUUUCAC
rnacentral:ncRNA from 1 species